GAUGAACGCUGGCGGCGUGCCUAAUACAUGCAAGUCGAGCGAACGGACGAGAAGCUUGCUUUUCUGAUGUUAGCGGCGGACGGGUGAGUAACACGUGGAUAACCUACCUAUAAGACUGGGAUAACUUCGGGAAACCGGAGCUAAUACCGGAUAAUAUUUUGAACCGCAUGGUUCAAAAGUGAAAGACGGUCUUGCUGUCACUUAUAGAUGGAUCCGCGCUGCAUUAGCUAGUUGGUAAGGUAACGGCUUACCAAGGCAACGAUGCAUAGCCGACCUGAGAGGGUGAUCGGCCACCAUGGAACUGAGACACGGCCCAGACUACUACGGGGGGCAGCAGUAGGGAAUCUUCCGGGAGGGGCGAAAGCCUGACGAAGCAACGCCGCGUGAGUGAUGAAGGUCUUCGGAUCGUAAAACUCUUUUAUUAGGGAAGAAAAUAUGUGUAAGUAACUGUGCACAUCUUGACGGUACCUAAACAGAAAGCCACGGCAAACUACG
rnacentral:rRNA from 1 species